AUGCACCUAACAUUUGUUGUCACAUAAAUUUGGUAUACGUUUCGCCACAAAUCCCGCAUUUAACUCUCUCCCUUUCUCUUUCUCUCUAAAAUCUUUGAAAAUGGUAUCCAAAAACCCGAACCCGCCCGAGGGAUUCUACUUGGAUCCCAGUGGUGGCAUGCCUCUUCCUGGGAUGCCUCCCUUCGCCUCCGUCUCCGCCGCAACCGCUGCGAACUCGCCGGAGGACGCCGCCAAGAAGAUCCGCAAGCCCUACACCAUCACCAAGUCGCGGGAGAACUGGACCGAACCCGAACACGACAAGUUCCUCGAAGCAAUUCAACUGUUUGAUCGUGAUUGGAAAAAGAUUGAAGCAUUUGUUGGAUCAAAGAGUGUUAUACAGAUACGUAGCCAUGCACAGAAAUACUUUCUAAAAGUUCAGAAGAGUGGGACAAGUGAACAUCUUCCACCACCCCGGCCUAAAAGAAAAGCUGCCCAUCCAUAUCCUCAAAAAGCUUCCAAAAAUGCUCCAGUACUCUCACAAGUAUCCGGACGUUUUCAGUCUUCAUCUGCUUUGCUUGAACCUGGAUAUAUCUUGAAGAAUGAUGCCCCACCAAUGCUUAAAACUCCUAUUAUGAACACUGUUGCGUCGUCCUGGUCGAACAACACCUUGCAAACUGCCAAUUUAUCUCCUGUGACAAAAGUGAAUAAUCCUUGCAGUAGCGGUGAAAGCACUCCUAAAGUGUGGCCAGUUGGUGAAUCUAAUUGUCAAGGGAAUAAAAUCCAUCCAUUGAGAGUUCUUCCAGAUUUUACUCAGGUAUAUGGCUUCAUUGGCAGUGUAUUUGACCCAAAUGCAACUGAGCAUCUGCAGAAACUAAAAAAGAUGGACCGCAUAGAUGUUGAGACGGUGCUACUGUUAAUGAGAAACCUGUCCAUCAAUUUAACUAGCCCAGAUUUUGAGGAUCAUAGAAAGCUGCUUUCAUCAUAUGAAGUUGAACCAGAGAGAGAUGAUAACUAUCAACGCGGAUAGACCCAUGCACGAUGAGCAGUUGAAGAGUGCUAAUGGGAUGGAGGCAGAAAAUGGCUUCAUUUUCCACCGAUUGGAUGCAGUCAGGGUGCUAUUAUUUUCCAUGAUGUGAUAAAGAUACUGAUGGUCAUGGCAAGGCAACAAACUGAAGACGUUUGAGUCACGGCUAAUUUUUAUUCUGCUCUAGAUUUUUAUUGCUGUUGCUCGUCAUCUUAGCUAUGCAAAUCAUAAUUGUCAUCAUUCAUUAUUAUGUCAUGUAUAUAUGAAUCAGCCUAUUAAAAAGAAAAUAAUAAUCUGAGAUUGUAUAGUUAUUUUCCUAGUUCUUUGUAGGUCUGCACAGAACCUCAUAAUUGUGUACUAAAUUCAGCAAACACAAAUAUUUGAACGGAAUAUAUUCUAGAUUUGUGUAGGUCUGUACA